ensembl:lncRNA
UGUGAAAAAAUUAUCUUCCAGAAAAUUGUCUUCCACCAGUCCCUGGUGCUUUAAAAUGUUGAUAGCUCUUGUCCUUUGAAUAGCAGCAGAGUAAUUGACAAUGUUGAGAAAGGUUCAAGCAGGGUUGUAUCAAUACCACAUUAGUCAAGAGAAAAGGCAAAGAUGAAACAAGAAUAGAUGUGAGGAUGUGGCAACACCUGCUACUGAAACCACUGACAAAAUGUUGAAAGUUCUUUUUUUUUUUUUUUUUUUCUGCAACAUUUUUAAUCUGUAAACUGAACUUUUUAUCAUGCACAAAAGUCUGUGACAUAGGCUUUCUUAGAUUAGACCCAGUUUGGCCAACUGAAAAUGGAAAAUCAGGAUUGUUUUUUGUACAGGAAAAUUUUCAAUAAACCCAAGGAAUGUUUUUCACAAGACACAGGCUGGACCGUAAGUUUUGCAUCCAAGAGGCUAGGCUGUUGAUUUGACUUAAUCUUCUCGCACCAAGAUUUGCAAAGGAAAGAUAAAAGUCAACCAAGACAGUACAUUUCAAUUUGUUUCGAUUGUUUAUUAACCAGAUUACAAUAAUAAUCCUGGUAGAUACCUUAGUUCAUCCUUCUAAUAAGCCUGUUGAUCUGGUCUUCCCUAUUGCCAGCAUCUCCACCUUCUACAAAAUGGGUGGUCUUUUUCUUCAUUCCACCUCGUGGAGAAGACAAUUUAAAGGGCCACAGGAAGUUGUUUGCUUCUUUGAAACGUUUUCCAACGGUAUAGAUCUCAUGAAUCAGAUCCUCCAUGCAGAUGAUUCCAUAUUUCCCAAGAGAUUGAGCAAUCAAUGCGUUGUCAGGGCAAUUCGCUUUUUGUUGAUUUUGCCGUAACCACGCUUGUAAAUCAAUUCAUUUACAGACUUCAGAUUUGGGUACCCCCAUGCAAUGGGUUCCGCGGGUACAUAGAAGUUACCGGCUUUUCGUGCCAUCCUAGCCAUUCGAAUUUCAGUUCUGUACAUCUGCCUGUAUUCCUUGUGGUAAUGCUUAGCUUUUUCAUAGAUAAGCUUCCUCCUUGCCUUUCGAAGCAUCUUUUGGGCAAACUUCUUUCUCAGUCGCUUGAUCUUAAGCUCUGCGAAAUUCUUCCGCUUUUUCUUAAGGGUUUCUGGCACAGCAGGAACCUUCUUUUUCUUCUCUUCUGCACCCUCCAUGGUUCCAGCCGGGAAAGAGCAAAAUGUUGAAAGUUCUUCAUGAGAGACAUGUAUUCUUUUUUUUUUUUUUACUUUUCCUUUUUUUUUUUAAAUUUUAUUUUAUUUUUAAACUUUACAAUAUUGUAUUGGUUCUGCCAUAUAUUGAAAUGAAUCCGCCACAGGCACACACGUGUUCCCCAUCCUGAACCCACCUCCCUCCUCCCACCAUCCCUCUGGGUCAUCCCAGUGCACCAGCCCCAAGCAUCCAGUAUCAUGCAUCGAACCUGGACUGGCGACUCGUUUCAUAUAUGAUAUUAUACAUAUUUCAAUGCCAUUCUCCCAAAUCAUCUCACCCUCUCCCUCUCCCACAGAGUCCAAAAGACUGUUCUAUACAUCAGUGUCUCUUUUGCUGUCUCAUACACAGGGUUCUUGUUACCAUCUUUCUAAAUUCCAUAUAUAUGCGUUAGUAUACUGUAUUGGUGUUUUUCUUUCUGGCUUACUUCACUCUGUAUAAUAGGCUCCAGUUUCAUCCACCUCAUUAGAACUGAUUCAAAUGUAUUCUUUUUAAUGGCUGAGUAAUACUCCAUUGUGUAUAUGUACCACAGCUUUCUUAUCCAUUCAUCUGUGAUGGACAUCUAGGUUGUUUCCAUGUCCUGGCUAUUAUAAACAGUGCUGCAAUGAACAUUGGGGUACACGUGUCUCUUUCCCUUCUGGUUUCCUCAGUGUGUAUGCCCAGCAGUGGGAUUGCUGGAUCAUAAGGCAGUUCUAUUUCCAGUUUUUUAAGGAAUAUCCACACUGUUUUCCAUAGGAGACACGUAUUUUGGUGUGUCAAAAUAUUCUAAAUGCUUGAACUCUCUACAAGGACUCCCUAUGUAGCUAUUUUUUAUUUCUAAUUUCU